rnacentral:rRNA from 1 species
UACGGGGGGGGCAAGCGUUGUUCGGAAUUACUGGGCGUAAAGGGCUCGUAGGUGGCCAACUAAGUCAGACGUGAAAUCCCUCGGCUUAACCGGGGAACUGCGUCUGAUACUGGAUGGCUUGAGUUCGGGAGAGGAGCGUGGAAUUCCCAGUGUAGAGGUGAAAUUCGUAGAUAUUGGGAAGAACACCGGUGGCGAAGGCGGCGCUCUGGACCGAGACUGACGCUGAGGCGCGAAAGCGUGGGGAGCAAACAGG